GGUUUAACCAAUUUGAAGCGAAUCUAGGCUUCACUGAAGCAAGUGGAGCCCUUUCAGGCACGAUCCCUUGUAACUCUAUCAGUGCCAAGAUAUCCUUGACGUACAUUAAUGAGAGGUGCAGAGCAACACUAGACAGCCUGAAGGUGACGCAACUGAGUGGAAUCAAAGUGCACAUCAGCAACCAAGGUGGCUUUAGCUGGUUGUUGUCCUUCCUUGCUAACUAUGCCACUGACAGUAACAAGGAGAAGAUUGUGUCUGCAGUGGAGGAACGCUUGUCUAAAAACAUUGAGGAGCUCCUGAGCCACUUCCAUUGUGAAAAGUACUUCAAGCAGGUUUAUAAUCAGCACCUGUAGACAUUUCAUCGGUCACUCGGUCUCGCCAUAGUUGAAAUAUUACGGCGUAUAGUAAGUAAAUAUAUUAUCUGGGAACAGAUGUUCUUGGGAAUGGCCCAUUCUUAUUUCACUAACACUGUUGUCACUCUUGAGUUUCUAAAAACAAAUUGGGUGCAUUUCCAGGAGUUCCUCAGUAACUUCCAAGACCCAUUUUGAGCCAUGAAUUUUCUGUGUACAUUUAAAUUCAGUGCCUUUACAUUUGUUAGAUACCACAAUUAGAUAAUACCUUGCAAUAAGAAGUAAACUGAAUACAGGGAAUCCAGUAAUUAUAAUCUUAUAGUAUGAAGCUUAAAAUAUGGAACCUUCCGGUCUUGUUAACACAGCAUAUUUCAGGCAGUGUUAUUUAUGUCUUCAGUGCUAUGAAAUAAGGAGAGCGCAUUGAAGGGUGAUAAAAUGUAGUGGGUCUCCAUACGAAGCUACAUGAUUUUCUUUUGUACUAAAUGCCAGCAUUAACUGACCUCCAGCUCAGAAUUACCUGAUUCAUGUUGGUAUAAAUCUAGAAUGACUCAGCCUGCUUGCUGUCACUAAAUAUCACCAGUGAUUCAUGCCGAUGUCCAGUUUAGGUUUCCAUCCUAAUGAAUAAGGACUCUGAUGUUGAGUAAUAGUUACUGUGAGUGCUACGACUUAGCUUAUCAUGACACGACACUGACACUUACGUACAAGCACAACUGUGCUUUGUGGUCACUUGUUCUUCAUGGAGUUAAUCUUCUUUGUAAGAUACAGAUGAAAAGUGGCUAUAUGUGAACUGGAUUCAACCGGUUUAGGAAUUAUAUGAUAAUAUUUCUAUUGUUGGCUAACUUGGUUUAAAGAGCAAGGGAGAAACUAGAAAAAACAGAAGAAAAAUAUGCAUAACAUACAACUUUAUUGUAAAAUUUAUAUUAUAAAAAUAAAAGUGCCUCAUAAAAGAU